rnacentral:rRNA from 1 species
AUUGAACGUUGGCGGCAUGCCUUACACAUGCAAGUCGAACGGCAGCACGGGAGCAAUCCUGGUGGCGAGUGGCGAACGGGUGAGUAAAGUAUCGGAACGUGCCCAGUCGUGGGGGAUAACGUAGCGAAAGUUACGCUAAUACCGCAUACGAUCUAUGGAUGAAAGCGGGGGACCGUAAGGCCUCGCGCGAUUGGAGCGGCCGAUGUCAGAUUAGGUAGUUGGUGGGGUAAAGGCUCACCAAGCCAACGAUCUGUAGCUGGUCUGAGAGGACGACCAGCCACACUGGGACUGAGACACGGCCCAGACUCCUACGGGAGGCAGCAGUGGGGAAUUUUGGACAAUGGGCGCAAGCCUGAUCCAGAAAUGCCGCGUGCAGGAAGAAGGCCUUCGGGUUGUAAACUGCUUUUGUACGGAACGAAACGGUCCUGGUUAAUACCUGGGGCUAAUGACGGUACCGUAAGAAUAAGCACCGGCUAACUACGUGCCAGCCGCCGCCGUAAAAC